CGCGCAGGGCCGCAGAGCCGCAGGACUAACCUGGCUUGCGCCCUGCAGCCCCGGGCUCGCCCGGCGGCCCCGCCCCCUCCCCUGCCGGGGCUUUUCCUGCGGAGCUCAGGAAGCCGGCCUAGCACAGCCUCGGGACUUGGGCUCCGCUCCCAGGGAGGCCGGCGCGGGGCCGCUGGGACAGGGGUUGUCGGCGCCGCUGGGGGCCCGCAGCCAGCCCUCGGCCCGGGCCGGAGCUUCAGUUCAGGUCGGCGCUCCAGGGGUCUUUGUUGGCCGCGACUGAGGGAGCGGGAGCCGGGGGAGGAGCUGGGGAGGCGGCGGCUGGAGCCGGAGAGUGGGAGCCAGCGAGCGGAGUAGGGAGCGAGCGCGCGGAGUUGGGAGCGAGGAGGGUGGGAGGGAGGAGAAAAAGUAAAUAGGAGAGAGCGAAACAAGGCUGAACAGGCAGACGGGCGGGCAUUAGAGCCAGCUGCUGCUGCUGGGGGAGAGCGGGAGUUCAGGCAGCUCGCACCCCAGCCCCGGGCCAGGGCCACAUCCAGACAGCAGGCGGCCAGCGCCCUGGGGAAGCGGUACCGUGGGGGAGCCGGCAGCAGGCCCUCCGCGCGCCUCCGCCUGAGGGAGGCUCGGCGUCCUCUGCCCCAGCCCUGCCGCCCAGCGCCUGCCCUCGAAGCCCCGCGGCCGCCCGCGCCCUCCUCCCAUCAGUGGCCUAGCAGCCCUCGGCCCAAGGCUUCUCCGGCCCCUGGCUGCCCGCGGACGCCCUCCCACAGUCAUGAACCCCCAUGAGUGAGCAGCGGAGGAAGGAGGAGCGGCCGACUCGGACGUGGACGGCUUUUUUCGGACAGCUCUUAUUUAAAAAGAAGAUGAAAAACAGAAUCUCUGAACAACAGCUAAGGCAGGCAUCCAGGAGUAGGAAUACUUUUCUAACACAGCCCAGAUGUAAACAUCAGGAGCAGACGCUCAGAUGGCUGAUUUACCCCAGCUGGACUCCUCUGAGGCUUUGGCAGUGGCCAGCCCUGUGCCCCAAGCUGGAGUAAGCCGACUCUCCCCAUGGGGGAAGCAGCUCCUCCAACUCCCAGACUGUGUGGUUCUGCACAACAGUGAAGAAAAUAUUGAGGAACCGAAACAAGCUGAGGCAGGUAAGUCCCACCCCCUCCUCCACUCAGAUGCCGGAGGCCUGACACCAGUUAGGCUGGUGUACCUGCAGCAUUCUGCCCUGGGUUUGCCUUUGAUCCCACCCCUGCAGUCUAGCCACCAGGAAACAAAAAAUCUCCUCUCUGGGUUUUCUAAGCCUUACCUUUUGGUUCAGGGCAGAUCAGAACCCAGGAAACCCUGAACUCCAGAUAGGCAUCUGAAGGGAGAGGUGUCUCCACUCUGCCUCCAGCUCAGGUCCUCAGAACUACGCUUUGCCCUCACCUCACCUGACUGGUGCAGCACAUCCAGCCUCGUGCUCCUUGUUUUCUGGACAGUUUCCUUUUGUUGUGUUUGAUUUCCUUCUCUCAAGUAGUCAUUCAGUUUCCACAGUGAAUCCUGACUGGCACGCUAGAGUAUACACAGGCCUGAACACAUACUUGAAAGGUUGUGCCUCUCUUGCCUCCUGUUCCAGCUUCCUACCAUCCAAACUACACAAAUCAGCAAGUACCUCUUCCAAAUUUGUUUUUUUAGUGAACAGGGUCUCACUCUGUUGCCCAAGCUACAGUGCAGUGGUACAGUCAUAGCUCACUGCAGCCUCCUACUCCUGGGCUCAAGUGAUCCUCCCACCUCAGCCUCCCAAAUAGUUGGGACUACAGGUGCAUGCCACUACACCCAGCUAAUUAUUAAACUUUUUGUCGAGAUGGGAUCUCACUAUGUUGCCCAGGCUGGUCCUGAACUCCUGGGCUCAAGUGAUGCUCUUGACCCAAAGCGCUGGGA
rnacentral:lncRNA from 1 species